UGUCCAGGGAUGGGAAUCGAACCUACAUUGUUCCGCUUACCGGGCCGAUGCCAUGUCCACUAGGCUAACCUGGAC
rnacentral:tRNA from 1 species